CGGGUCAGGGAAGCCGCAGUGCCCGCGGUCCCUUCCCCGCGCGGCGCGGCUCCGGGUAACUAAUGUUCCGAGGCGCCUGACUAAACCCUCCAAAUCCAAGGAAUGUCAGCGCUAACACUCGCGCCCUGGGCGGCAGACAAAUGCGUCCCAGCGGAGCCGCCGCGAGCUCCGCGCCGCCGCUCCCCUCGGCGUCGGCCUGAGCUAGCCGGCAGCCGGCGCGGGGCGGCCGGGCGCCGACACAAGUUAGUUUUCCGGCCCAAGCAGCCCUGCCGCAGCCAAGGAAGAGGAACUGCUCCUCUUCCCCCGGAUAGCGCCCGAGCACUGCCACAGCAGGGGCUUCCCCAGGCGCUGAGGGCUGGGGGCGGCGGGCAGGCGGGGCGGGGACGCCCCUCCGCCAUCUCCGGCCAACCGCCCCUCCCUCGCCCAGGGACGCGAGGGGGACCGGCGGUCCGGGCGAGGCCUCGGCCGCGCAUCGCACCCCGGCUCCCCGCCGCCGGAGUUGAGGGGGAGGCGCGCUCUCCGUAAGAGCCGGAGGCGGGGCGCCAUCGCCCUCCCACUCCCCGGCGGGCGGGCCGGGGGAGCCCGGGGCUGCGAACACCCCCAGACGGGCGGCUGCGGGAGGGGAGGCUGGACCAAGGGGCCUGGUCCACCGGACCAGCGGUGGCGGCAUCGGCAUCUCGCCUCCUUCAGGCCUGCACGCGCCACAGGCCGCAGCCUGGACCAACCCCGCGUCCCCGGGCCGUGAGCGCUGCGGUCCCGGCCCCCCAGAGCGGGACGCCGGGCGGCCGCAGCCCCCCGGACCCGGCUCUCCGCCCGCUCCGCCCGCAGUCCCGGCGCGGAGAGCGGCCGCCCGAGCCGCUGCCGCGGCAGCGCGGGUGUCGGCGACGGAGCCCGGGGCGGGGAAGAGCGGAGGAAGGGGCGGCGAGGGGGCGGGCCGGCGGCGGCCAGGGAGGUCGGAGUGCGCGGGGCUCGGCACCCCCUCGGCCCGCGCUGCGCCAGCACCACCUGCGGAGCUGCGGUGCCCACGCCGUGCCGCGACCCCGCCGCCCCUGCUCCCUCCACACGCGGGCAAACAAAACAAGUUGCCGGUCGCUGCCGCCGGAGGGGGCCGGGCGGGUCACUCACCCUCAUCCUGCUCAGCGGGCUUGGGUCGUCCGGCCGCGGGGUCAGGGAAGACCAGAGGACCACUAGCCCCAGGAAGCUUCCCACCACCAGCAAACUGCGUGGUGAAUUUGUAACCGAAAGGCCCAGGUGAGAUGUGCAAAUAUCACUGGAUUGGAGGAGCUCACUUGGAAAGCCAGUAUUCCUCCUGAGCUAAUGAAAAGAAAGGCUGUCGUCUUAUGCCAAAAGCAAUACCAACCUUGUUCACGGGCUGAGAUCUAGAGUGUGUAAUUCACGAAGUAUGAAUCUGCUGGGUAAUGUGAUAUGAAAAGCGAAUGCACCAUUUCUUGGUGAUGAUUCAGGUCAGCGUUGGGACCCAGGAAUCUCCUGUUAAUCAGUACCCUGGUGAUUUUGAUCCAGAGACGGGGUCUAUUAUCUGGUCCUGUUGUCAAGGCUGGUCUCAAACUCCUGGCCUCCAGCGAUCCUCCCUUUUUGGCCUCCCAAGAUGCUGGUAUUACAGGCAUGAGCCACCAUGGUCCACCCGGACUCCUUUUCAUAGGAGACAGUUCCCUAGGCAGAGACUGGGCUUGAAACAGUUCCUCUAAAGAAGAGGGUAGAGACUAGAACUGAAUGAGAUGGACAUAGAGAUGGCCAAGAAAAGCAUCGUCCUCUGCCAAGUCAUGGGGUCAUGUGUGGUGGAUGGUGACAUGGUGUCCUCAGCUCAGAGUCCAGCUGGGGGCUCAGAAGCAAGAGUGGGUACAGAGGAAAGGCCCUAUGAGGAUACAGCAAGAAGGCAGCCAUCUGCAAGUCAGGAAGAGACCUAUCAUCAGAAACCAACCAUGCUGGCACCUUGAUCUUGGACUUUGAGUCUCCAGAACUGUGAGAAAUAAAGUUGUUGUUUAAGCCACCUAGUCUCUGAUAUUCUGCUACAGCAGUUUGAGCAGAGUAAUAUAGUUGGCUAUCCAGUUAAACGCCCUAUCACCUACAGCCCCAUCCUCAUUGCCUACUUCCUUCUAGAGAGUGAGCUCCCAUAGAUCUGGCUAAGUGAGUAGCAAGGAAGCAAUGUAAUCUUGCGACCUGAGAACAGCCAUUUAUCCCAGCUGUUCACACUUGAUCUAAGUUUGUCCAACAGAUUCACUCUAGGGGGAAUUUAAAGCAGGGACUUAGAAAUUCUAGUUAGUUUCUGUGAGAUGCCUUAAAAGAGAAAGUAUUUGAAGCCUGGGCUGUGGAACCAUGUGCAUGAAUAUUUUUGGGGAGAAGAAAAAGAAUAAAGUAGAUAUGCAAAUGUGUGAAGAGAGGAAGAGAUGCUAAUCCAUGAGAGUAGCCUAAGAGAGACUGGAGGAGGGACCUUGGCUGUGAACUCUGAAGUGCUGACUUCCAGUCUCUUAAGAGUCCCCAUUCAAGUUCUGUACUUGGUUUCUAUGAAAUAUCUCUGAUUUUUAACAAAAAUUCCUUUUUGCUUCAGCUGUCUCUAAGCAACUUCUGUUGUUUUGCAACCUGAUUCCUUAGUAAGACAUAUGGAAACAUGUAAAUCAAAGCCUAAAGUAUGAAUUAAGUAAAAAUUCCACAAUAAACAUAAGGUUGAUUCAUGAAUUUGCUAAUCAUUCUCCCUCACUGUGGAAAUAAUGAGAAUUUUAUUCUUAAUCUAUGGCAGUUAUAGGUCUCUAUAGGUUCAGUUAUUUUGAUUUCUU
rnacentral:lncRNA from 1 species